rnacentral:rRNA from 1 species
CCUACGGGUGGCUGCAGUGGGGAAUAUUGGACAAUGGGGGGAACCCUGAUCCAGCCAUGCCGCGUGUGUGAAGAAGGCCCUCGGGUUGUAAAGCACUUUCAGUGAGGAAGAACGCCUGGUGGUUAAUACCCAUCAGGAAAGACAUCACUCACAGAAGAAGCACCGGCUAACUCCGUGCCAGCAGCCGCGGUAAUACGGAGGGUGCGAGCGUUAAUCGGAAUUACUGGGCGUAAAGCGCGCGUAGGUGGCUUGAUAAGCCGGUUGUGAGAGCCCCGGGCUCAACCUGGGAACGGCAUCCGGAACUGUCAAGCUAGAGUGCAGGAGAGGAAGGUAGAAUUCCCGGUGUAGCGGUGAAAUGCGUAGAGAUCGGGAGGAAUACCAGUGGCGAAGGCGGCCUUCUGGACUGACACUGACACUGAGGUGCGAAAGCGUGGGUAGCAAACAGGAUUAGAUACCCGGGUAGUC